AGGAAUAUUGGUCAAUGGGCGAGAGCCUGAACCAGCCAAGUAGCGUGAAGGAUGACUGCCCUAUGGGUUGUAAACUUCUUUUAUAAAGGAAUAAAGUCGGGUAUGUAUACCCGUUUGCAUGUACUUUAUGAAUAAGGAUCGGCUAACUCCGUGCCAGCAGCCGCGGUAAUACGGAGGAUCCGAGCGUUAUCCGGAUUUAUUGGGUUUAAAGGGAGCGUAGAUGGAUGUUUAAGUCAGUUGUGAAAGUUUGCGGCUCAACCGUAAAAUUGCAGUUGAUACUGGAUAUCUUGAGUGCAGUUGAGGCAGGCGGAAUUCGUGGUGUAGCGGUGAAAUGCUUAGAUAUCACGAAGAACUCCGAUUGCGAAGGCAGCCUGCUAAGCUGCAACUGACAUUGAGGCUCGAAAGUGUGGGUAUCAAACAGGAUUAGAUACCCUGGUAGUCCACACGGUAAACGAUGAAUACUCGCUGUUUGCGAUAUACGGCAAGCGGCCAAGCGAAAGCGUUAAGUAUUCCACCUGGGGAGUACGCCGGCAACGGUGAAACUCAAAGGAAUUGACGGGGGCCCGCACAAGCGGAGGAACAUGUGGUUUAAUUCGAUGAUACGCGAGGAACCUUACCCGGGCUUAAAUUGCAGAUGAAUUACGGUGAAAGCCGUAAGCCGCAAGGCAUCUGUGAAGGUGCUGCAUGGUUGUCGUCAGCUCGUGCCGUGAGGUGUCGGCUUAAGUGCCAUAACGAGCGCAACCCUUGUUGUCAGUUACUAACAGGAUUUGCUGAGGACUCUGACAAGACUGCCAUCGUAAGAUGUGAGGAAGGUGGGGAUGACGUCAAAUCAGCACGGCCCUUACGUCCGGGGCUACACACGUGUUACAAUGGGGGGUACAGAGGGCCGCUACCACGCGAGUGGAUGCCAAUCCCCAAAACCUCUCUCAGUUCGGACUGGAGUCUGCAACCCGACUCCACGAAGCUGGAUUCGCUAGUAAUCGCGCAUCAGCCACGGCGCGGUGAAUACGUUCCCG
rnacentral:rRNA from 1 species